rnacentral:lncRNA from 1 species
AUCAAUGUAUAAUAUGUGUGUGAUUUUUUAAAUCCUCUUUUUAAAUUUUGUGUGUGUGUGUGUGUGUGUGUGUGUGUGUGUGUGUGUGUGUGUUAGGGGCUCUUCUCUUGUGUGUGUGUGUGUGUGUGUGUGUUAGGGGCUCUUAUCUUGUGUGUGUGUGUUAGGGGCUCUUUGCGGGCCGAACAAGAUGAUGUUGAGCAGGCAGAGGGGUGUGUGUGUGUGUGUGUGUGUGUGUGUGUGUGUGUCUGAGGGGUGUUGAAAAUGAGGAAGAAUCCCCCCUGAAGGAAACUGCCAAGGAGGAGGGACAGGAAACAAAAAACAAAAAAAAGGCGCUUCUAGAAAACAAACUCUAAGGGGACGGUUGGCCAGUCGAGCACAGACAGAGGCAACGACAACCAAACCCCCUGAGAAGACAGAACUGAACCAGAUCACCAUGGAGACGGUCAUAGAGGAAGAACUGAACAAGGUCACCAUGGCGAACGAUACUACCCAACAGAGAUGCCUUGAUCUAGGAGGACUACCCGGUUACGCAGAGUGGCCCACCCUGGUUGAAGAGGCAAAGCGGGGAGUGAAAAUUUGGACCGUCAAGUUCGAACCGGAAGAACAGCUUAACCUCAACGGCCCUUUGUACACCGUCAAGAUCGACCCGGAAGAAGAAGAGCUUAACCUCAACGCCGUCAAGAUCGAACCGGAAGAAGAACAGCUUAACCUCAACGGCCCUUUGGGCACCGUCAAGAUCGAACCACCGGAAGAAGAACAGCUUAACCUCAACGCCGUCAAGAUCGAACCGGAAGAAGAACAGCUUAACCUCAACGCCGUCAAGAUCGAAUCGGAGGAGGAACAGCUUAACCUCAACGGCCCUUUUUCCGAGGGCAAGAGUUCCAACGAGGCUCGGGCUCCAGAUGAAACGAAGACAACAGGAACAGGACCAAACCUACCUGGUGAACAGGACGAACCACAGAAGAUUAAGAUUGAGGUUGUAGAGUCCCUGUGUCAGAGGGACGAAGACUCAAUUAGCUCUAACUAUACCCUAAGUGUGUUCCCUUCGGAUGAGGAGGAUGAGGAAGAUGCUCUCGUCAUUGAGUGCGAUUGGUACGCUGGAGAUGAUGUCAUAGGUCUUCAAGGUUCACAACUAGGGCGUGCCAUACUGCAUAACAUAAAAGAAGAAGCCAUAGAAACAGAAACCAUGGAAACAGAAAUAAACACUGAGAAAUCAGAAGCCAUAAAAACAGAAACCAGAGUGGUUAAGGUGGAAGAAGGGGAAAGCCCAAUCGUUAUCAGUAAUGUAAUGACUCUAGUAAAAGCACAAGAGACAACCGCCGUUGGUGGAAAGGUAGUGAAGAAUAAGCUGUCUCCCAUCUUGGCUGACACUUUAAAAACGACCAGAAAGAGGAGGAGAGGAGAGGAGAGAGGAGGAGAGGAGAGGGGAGGAGAGAGGAGAGGGGAGGAGAGAGGAGAGGAGAGGGGAGGAGAGGUAGUGAAGAAGAAGGUGUGUGAGUGGGUGUGUGUGAAGAAUGAGCCGCUGAUACCCCUGCUUAGCUUAGCUACUCCUCCGCUACUUGUUCCGAACAGUACACCUGAAGAAGACGGGCUGGUUACCACUGCCGCCGUGUCUGAUUCGGCUAGAUUAGACGGGGUUGUCGUUGAAGCAACGAGACUCAGCCAAGCGGUUGACGCGGCGUUGCGAGGCACAGCCCCCCUUAGACGAAAGAACAAAAGAGCUAACAAAAGACGCAACAAGAACAGAAACUUUAACGCUGUCGUGACUGCUGUUUCUCAGGAGGCAGGGUCGCGACGUGGUGCGGAGCGGGUCUACAGACCCAUGGAAGAAAAAAGAAAACUGUUCAUCGGAGCGCAACAGCGAGAUGGGCACGAACACAGAAUGAAACUCGGUUUCGAGCGGUUGUCUGAUCCACAGAGCUGGAAAGAAAUCCACUACGUCCGAUUGGGUGCAGAGCACACGGUGCCUUGGGUGAAUGCGAGGUGGGAGAGAAGACGUGUGACAUCAAUGUUGAAAUGUUCCACUCGGGUCUACUGUUUUGAUAAGGGUUGGGAGGGGAGAGAGAACCUGGAAUUCACUGACAUGAGACCAGCCAUGGUGCGAGUGUUUCGACAUAAUGACAGCGGUGCCCUUUGGGCUGCUGUGAGAGCCGAUAUGUCGCUUCCUCCGCUCAGCCCAAAUGGAGAGUUUAUUGGGAAAUAUACUGCUGGGUGCCCCUGGGGAAACCCGUACUGUGUGUAUGGAAUCUUUUCUGGUGGAGGUUGGAGAUGUUUCAACAGAAAUAAACACGUACCCAUCACUGCUGAUGAUGUUGUGCGAGCAGGGUGGGAUGAGGAAUAUUGGGCUGAGAGAGAACACGUGUCUUCUGUGAGAUGGACUUUCAUCAUUGACAAGGGGGUUCUUCUUCAAAGCGACUGCCCGGAGGAAUGCCUGGGCCCCGUUUGGCGAGGACUGGUCGGACGUGGCGCUACGGCUUUUCGGUCCAAGAGGAGGGUGAUGAAUAUGGCUCAUGAGAGUGGACCUGCAACCCGUACCAACCCAUAUGCAAAUUGCUGAUUAUUGAUUAAUCAUAUAUUCUAUAUGUGUUUUUUCUGAGUGAUGCUUGAGUCAUGUUUUUGCAAUGAUAUAACCACUGUGUGCUCUCCUAAUAUGUUGUUGUGUGAAACAUGCUAAAUAAUUAUGUGUGAAAUGUGCUUGAGUUAUGCUUACACAAACCUAUAUCCAUAUAUGCUUGCAGAAAAAUGCGUGAAAUAUGAAAUGUGCUUAACCAGCGAGAAUGUAAAGCAGAACAAUGUGUACGUUAAGAGAGUUUGCAAACUUCACUGUGCAUUAAAUUGUGUAAUGAUGGAGUCAGAAAUGUCAGAAAUGAACAUACAUGUUGCUAGGAUGUCUCUUGACAAAAAAUAAGGUGGUUUAGAACUUGUAUGCAUGUUAGGGGGAUUUAAAAGGCGAAUGCAGUUUGUGUUCUGUGAGUCUUUUCUUGUUUGCUUUGAAUUGACGAAACUUGAUCAUUGAUUGGAGAACUUUGUUAACUUUCACUUUUCAUUUCUUUUCUUAGUUAGGACUUUUUAUUUACAGGGAUAAACCCGACCUAGAUUAGACUGUUUCUUUACUUGUAACCUUUCACCUUUUUGCCUCUUUGACAAUAAAUACAAGAGGUCCUUUUUAUUAACA